rnacentral:rRNA from 1 species
UGAGACCUCAGGUCAGGCGGGGCUACCCGCUGAAUUUAAGCAUAUC